rnacentral:rRNA from 1 species
UUGAAAAGAACUUUGAAGAGAGAGUUCAAGAGUACGUGAAACCGUUCAGGGGUAAACCUAAGAAACCCAAAAGAUCGAACGGGGAGAUUCAUCGUCAGCGGCGCUGGCUUCGCGUCGGUGGGCGAUGUUCCGCGGAGCCCUUGCGGAUCCUACCGCGGACACGCUACCGUGCGUCGAUGUCCGGCGCUCGUCGUCGUGCACUUCUCCCCUAGUAGGACGUCGCGACCCGCUGGGUGUCGGUCUACGGCCCGGGUGCGGUGCCUGUCGCGUCGCCGGUAAAACGGCACGCGGCAAACCCUCGGUCGCCCGGCCGGCUGCCCGGCGGUACACGCAUGGUAUCAGGCCGCACUCUUCUCACGUGUGCGUCGGGACCGUCGCAAGCGCGCGCCACGGUACUCGGAGGUUACGGACCUAGCGCCGUCCCCGGUCCUGGCCCGCUGUUGGUCGUACGGAACUCCUUCGACAGGCCUGCGAAUGAUAUAUACCGGUCGGCGACGCUACUGCUUUGGGUACUCUUAGGACCCGUCUUGAAACACGGACCAAGGAGUCUAACAUGUACGCGAGUCAUUGGGACUAGCGAGACCUAAAGGCGCAAUGAAAGUGAAGGUCGGCCCUGGUUGUCGACAGAGGGAGGAUGGGCCGCGUCGCGAUGCGGCUCCGCACUCCCGGGGCGUCUCGUUCUCAUCGCGAGAAGAGGCGCACCCAGAGCGUACACGUUGGGACCCGAAAGAUGGUGAACUAUGCCUGGUCAGGACGAAGUCAGGGGAAACCCUGAUGGAGGUCCGUAGCGAUUCUGACGUGCAAAUCGAUCGUCGGAACUGGGUAUAGGGGCGAAAGACUAAUCGAACCAUCUAGUAGCUGGUUCCCUCCGAAGUUUCCCUCAGGAUAGCUGGCACUCGGCCGUUCCGCCAGGAACGCGCGCGAGUCUCAUCUGGUAAAGCGAAUGAUUAGAGGCCUUGGGGCCGAAACGACCUCAACCUAUUCUCAAACUUUAAAUGGGUGAGAUCUCUGGCUUUCUUGAAUUAUGAAGCCACGAGCAUCUCGGAUCAGAGUGCCAAGUGGGCCAUUUUUGGUAAGCAGAACUGGCGCUGUGGGAUGAACCAAACGCAGAGUUAAGGCGCCCAACUCGACGCUCAUGGGACACCAUGAAAGGCGUUGGUUGCUUAAGACAGCAGGACGGUGGCCAUGGAAGUCGGAAUCCGCUAAGGAGUGUGUAACAACUCACCUGCCGAAGCAACUAGCCCUGAAAAUGGAUGGCGCUGAAGCGUCGAGCCUAUACUCUGCCGUCAGCGGCAAGUGGGGCGGCCGCGCGCAAGCGCGCCGUCACGAAGCCCUGACGAGUAGGAGGGUCGCGGCGGUGUGCGCAGAAGGGUCU